rnacentral:rRNA from 1 species
UAGGGUGCGAGCGUUAUCGGAAUUACUGGGCGUAAAGCGAGCGCAGACGGUUACUUAAGCAGGAUGUGAAAUCCCCGGGCUCAACCUGGGAACUGCGUUCUGAACUGGGUGACUAGAGUGUGUCAGAGGGAGGUAGAAUUCCACGUGUAGCAGUGAAAUGCGUAGAGAUGUGGAGGAAUACCGAUGGCGAAGGCAGCCUCCUGGGAUAACACUGACGUUCAUGCUCGAAAGCGUGGGUAGCAAACAGGAUUAGAUACCCUGGUAGUCAAGGGCG